AUGAAGCAUGAGUCCAUUCAUCGGUGGUGCUUCAUUUCCAAGGGGGCAGGGCUCUUGGAGCUCUACAAAAGGAACCUCUGUCUCUCAGCUCUUCACUCGUUGACUUGAAUCUCCAUUGAGCUGACAAGUUCUGACUGCUGUACAAGCUUCACUCCCUCAAAAUGUCCUGUUGUGGAGGCCAGAGUUCCCGCUGCUCCAGGUGUGGCUGCUCCCCCUGCUGCUGUCAAAGCCGUCAAGUCUGUUCCAGAUGUGGCUGCUCUCCCUGCUGUUGCCACAGGCGUAGCUGUUGUUCCAGAUGUGGCUCCUCUCCCUGCUGCUGCCAAAGUCGUCAAGCCUGUUCCAGAUGUGGCUGCUCCCCCUGCUGCUGCCACAGGCGUAGCUGCUGUUCCAGAUGUGGCCGCUCUCCAUGUUGCUGCUCUAGCCAGGGCUCUUGCAACCAGUCUCGCUAUACUUUCCAGCAGUACAAGUUCUGAGCACUUUAGAAAUUGUCAACUGGGCUCUGGAUCUGAAGCUUGACAGCAAUCCUAACACCCAGAAGUGGAUGCCAGCUUGCUGUUUGCCAGCUCAAAACCUGAGAUAUUGAGAUCAAUGUCAAAAAAUAUGUAUUUCAUGCCUGCUUGUUGCCUUCCUGAGUUGCCUUCAUUGAGGCUGAUUCUUCUAGCCUCAUUCCCGCAACCUUUAGGAAACUGGAAUUCUUCUCUUCAAUCAGUCUCAAAAAUCCAGAUGAAAUUGUCUUUUUUCUGCAAAUAGAUGGUGCUUUCAUUUUCUCCAUGGUGUCUGGGAUAUGAAUGAAUAAAUCUGAAUUCAUG